UACGGGGGGGGGCAAGCGUUUGUUCGGAAUUACUGGGCGUAAAGGGUUUGUAGGUGGCUUGCUAAGUCAGACGUGAAAUCCCUCAGCUUAACUGGGGAACUGCGUCUGAUACUGGAUGGCUUGAGGUUGGGAGAGGGAUGCGGAAUUCCAGGUGUAGCGGUGAAAUGCGUAGAUAUCUGGAGGAACACCGGUGGCGAAGGCGGCAUCCUGGACCAAUUCUGACACUGAGGAGCGAAAGCCAGGGGAGCAAACGGG
rnacentral:rRNA from 1 species